UGAAAUAACUAAGGUUUAUUGAAUGCAAAAUUAUUUUUUAAGUAAAUACUGAAAAAAAUACUUCAGAGACCAAAAAAGUUAAAUGUUACUUCAGAGCACUCAUCCCUUUCCCAUAGCUAUGAAUCUGCUAUCACAGUUAAUUCUUCCAUCAACCUACAAAUACACACGAUUGUGAAAGUACGAUAUAUAAUAAUUGCUUGACAAGGCACAAUAGUUCAAAUGGCCAGGAGUUUUUCCUGACCAUAUGACUUGAACAGGAAAGAGGGGGUCAGUAACUAGAGCCUGGUGUUUGCUACUGGUGAGGUCACAUGGUCAGGAAAAUCUCUUUACCUAGACAUAAUGAAUGGAAUAAGGCAAUUCCACGCCAGCAUGGCCCAAUUUUUUUUUAGGGUAUCUCAGAUUUCUCUGGCAAUUCUCACAUACAAACUUAAUUGAGAGGAAGGAUGUUUAACAUGCUUGAUACAUUUGUAUCACAAACAAUUUUUGGGGAAAAUCAUGAUGAAUGUGGCCAUUUUAGGCUCUUUUAGACCAUAUAAUCCGUGAACCGUACAGACAUCUUGGUGUCAUUAUACUCCUUAUAGUAUGCUUUAAAAUAUGGAGUAUGGCUGUAUUCUAAAAAAAAAAAUGUAAAAAAAAAAAAAUCGCAUUAAUUUAUUCAAUAUUAAAAACAUUAUGAACAUCUCAAAAGUACCCUUUUUGAUUUUGAUUAUUUUUAGACAUCUUGUUUAGAACAAUAUACUCUUCAAACACAUAUUUCGAAGGUGGGCUCUGCUAAUUUUGAAGAAUACAUAGAAAUUGAUAUUGGUUAAGGAAGGACCUAUCAAAGUUCCAUUUGAAUCCAUUUUUCUAUUCACUGUGUUGAUGAUGCUCAUAAAAUUGUUUAUAACUAAAAGUAGCAGAGAGCCCACUUUAAUCAUUUUCCAAAAAAUGGUGUGUUACAAAUGUAAAAAGCCUAUCAAACAUCCAUCUUCCCAAUGACGUUUCUAUGUGAUAAUUGCCAGAACAAUCUGCGAUACAAAAUUAUUUUUGGGCUUUGCUCACAUGGAAUCACCCAAUAGCAGCUUUGUGGUUUCCUAUGCUGGUGGUAGUUAUAGUUAUGGCCGCAAACCACCUAGGUAUAUCACAAGAGUCAACAUAAAUGUCAAUACCCACAGGCUUAUAGGCAAUAUAAGUGGACAAUUCUCUUACAUCAGCAACUAUACAAGAGGAUAAUUAUCCUAAAUUAGAAACAAAGAACCUUCUCUACCAAAUUGUUACAGGACAGUUCCCUUUAGCCUGAAUAUGAAACCCCUUAGCUUGUUUUACACAGGCUGUAAGUGUACAAUUCCCUUAUAUUAAUAAGUCAUGGAUAUUGCAAUGUUUACACAAUAAAACUUGUGGAAAAGCUGGUAUUCCUCAGAUAUGUAAAUGUUUUAACUAUGGCUGUGAAGAUUCUCCGUCUGAAGGUUCUCCCAAGAUAAAUACAAUUUUUCUUACCACCGGCAAUAGACUAGGAGUCAGAUAUUAGAGAUGUUUCAAACAUCACAAAUGGCUUAAACUCCUCUUUCUGAUAUGAAAUCUUUUUUGUUAAUUAAGUGCAUGCGUACAUCAAAAUAGGUCCUAAUACAGUACUCUCUCCACUAAUGAUGAUAAUGAAGAUUAUGCUGUUCAAGAUCAGGUGGGGAUGAUGAGGAGAAAGUUAUCCAUCAAUUGUAUUUAUAAAGCCCUUUUUACAUCAGUAGAUGUUACAAAGUGCUAUACAGAAACACAGCCUAAAACCCCAAACAGCAAGCAAUGCAGGUGUAGAAGCACAGUGGCCAGGAAAAACUCCAUAGAAAGGCAGGAACCUAGGAAGAAACCUAGAGAGGAACCAGGCUCUGAGGGGUGGCCAGUCCUCUUCUGGCUGUGCCAGGUGGAGAUUAUAACAGUACAUGGCCAUUAAGGCCAGAUUGUUCUUCAAGAUGUUCAAACAUUCAUAGAUGACCAGCAGGGUCAAAUAAUAAUAAUCACAGUGGUUGUAGAGGGUGCAACAGGUCAGUACCUCAGGAGUAAAUGUCAGUUGGCUUUUCAUAGCUGAGCAUCCAUACCCUGCCUGUGUAAUGUGGAUUGCAUUAUGACGCCGGUCCAAGAUGGUGCUCAUUAGUGUUCAUCAUCAAUAUUUCUCCUUUUUAUCAAAGAAUCAUAUGUUAAGUAGGAUAUUAUUGCAACACUUCUGACUGUCUCAUAGUGGCAUAUCUUGGACAGCAUCACUUUAUCCACUGUUGAGCACAAUGACUUCCUGUCCUGUGCACAUGUGGGUGAGGGUUAUGUCAGAUCCUGUACGUCCAGGAGCAUGGCGUCCUGUUUGGUUCUCAGCUGGUCCCUUAUCAACAGGUGACCCACCAACUCUGAGCUCAGGUCUGCAAGAAUAGAAUAUUACUUUGCAUAAAAACAUAUAGAUCCUAAAACACAAAAACCGUAGAGCAAGCACUCACCUGCCAGUUCAUUUACUGACACAUUAUUACCAUGUAAUAACCACCCUUUUUCCAUGUAAUGACUACGAUUUCCAUGUUAUGACCAUGAUUUCCAUGUUUUUAUUUUUUUUAUUUAACCUUUUUUUAUUUAACCUUUAACUAGGCAAGUCAGUUAAAAAUAAAUUCUUAUUUACAAUGACGGCUUAGGAACAGUGGGUUAACUGCCUUGUUCAGGGGCAGAACGACAGAUUUUUACCUUUUCAGCUCAGGGAUUCGAUCUAGCAACCUUUCGGUUACUGGCCCAACGCUCUAACCACUAGGUUACCUGCCGCCCCAUGUAAAGACCAUGAUUACCAUGCAAUGACCGCCUACUGACCGUGUAUGUCGUGGUUGAGUGAGGUCCUGAGGGAGUUGAGCUGCUGUAUUGAGCAGGUCUGCAGGUCACAGUGUUCCAGAUGCGUCCUCUUAGUGAUCACACUACUGCAGGCAAGGUGCUGUGACACACAGGAAUUAUUUACACAUACCAAUCCUUACCUCUCUCCCACCACAUGCCCACUGUUUCCCCCUAUUUCUUCCAACCCUAUUUCUUUUCGCUCCACAGUCCACACUUCUCCAUUCUUCUCACCUCCUCUUUCUGUUCAGCUAACAGCUUGUUUUUGAGCGCGCUCAGUGCGGCCCUCACUUCCAACUUCAGGCCAGAGGGGUGGUAACCAUAGCUACCUGGUCCUAUAGAACCCUGACAAAGAGGAAACACAACAAAAGCAUGGCAUGGACGAGACGACCGUGACUCGACAUCUUCCGUAGUCCUCCUCAUCCUCCCAUUCAUCUUUCCUCCACAGCCCACCCUGCCUCUCUUCCGCCCAGCCCCCUGACACACUCCCCUGUUCCGACCCACUCGUACUCUGAAAGAGAGGAACAGAGGGAGGGAUCAGGGAUGGAGGGAUGACAUGGGAGGAGGGAAGAGUUCAGCGAUCCUCAGGCUCAGGUCUUCCCAGUGCAUGAUGGGUAGGUCCUGGUCGUCCUCGGAGGACUCUCCAUUCUGAUGAAGUCGCCCUGCCCCUUCCCCAGCAAACGGCUGUGUCUCAUCACUCUCCUUCUCCUCCGCUGUCUCUUUCUCCGUCUCUCCCUC
rnacentral:lncRNA from 1 species